CGGGGGGGGCGCAGUGGUUGGGGCCGCCGGCGGCCGCCGCGGCGGCGGGGUCAGUUCUCUUUGGUGUUUGCCGAGGUUGGAGGCGUCUCCAAAGUGUCCCCGGGAAGCAGUGACAGGCAAUGGCACAAGUUAAGAUGCAGACUACAGCAAACCUGUCUGGACCCACCAUGUCCCCUAUGGUGCUAUCCCUGCCAGUUACAACUACAAAUACACUGAGUCUGCCAUCCUCAAUGAAUGGAUCCAUUUCGGAAUCAGCUGCCAGCUGUAGCAGUCCUACUGCCGGCCUUGUGGAUCCCGCACCUUCUAACAACUCACCAGCUCCUCUCCAAGAUAACAUGGCAAACCCCAAAGAGAAAACUCCAAUGUGUCUGGUAAAUGAGUUAGCACGUUUCAAUAGAAUUCAACCCCAGUAUAAGCUUCUGAAUGAAAGAGGGCCUGCUCAUGCCAAGAUGUUCACAGUGCAGCUGACUCUUGGAGAACAGACAUGGGAAGCUGAAGGAAGCAGUAUUAAAAAGGCCCAACAUGCUGCUGCUAGCAAAGCAUUGAAUGAAACUACCCUUCCCAAACCAACGCCUAGACCACCCAAAAAUAAUGUAAACAAUAAUCCAGGCAGCAUAACUCCAACUGUGGAGCUGAAUGGUCUGGCGAUGAAAAGAGGAGAGCCUGCCAUCUACAGGCCAUUGGAUCCAAAGCCAAUUCCCAAUUACAGAGCAAAUUAUAAUUUCCGGGGCAUGUACAAUCAGAGGUAUCACUGCCCAGUGCCUAAAAUUUUCUAUGUCCAGUUAACUGUUGGCAACAGUGAGUUUUUUGGUGAAGGAAAGACUCGUCAAGCUGCUAGACAUAAUGCUGCAAUGAAGGCCCUUCAAGCUCUCCAGAAUGAACCUAUUCCAGAAAAAUUACCUCAGAAUGGAGAAACAGGAAAAGAAUCAGAAGAAGAUAAAGAUGCAAACAAGUCUGAGAUCAGUGUAGUGUUUGAAAUCGCUUUGAAGCGCAAUAUACCCGUCAGUUUUGAGGUGAUUAAAGAAAGUGGACCUCCGCACAUGAAGAGCUUUGUUACACGAGUUACAGUAGGAGAAUUCACUGCAGAAGGAGAAGGCAACAGUAAGAAACUCUCAAAGAAACGUGCUGCAAUGGCUGUCCUACAAGAACUUAAGAAACUUCCUCCUCUUCCUGUGAUUGAAAAGCCAAAACUUUACUUUAAAAAGCGUCCAAAAACAAUAUUGAAGACUGGACCAGAAUAUGGUCAAGGAAUGAAUCCCAUCAGUCGUUUGGCUCAGAUCCAACAGGCCAAAAAGGAGAAGGAGCCAGAGUAUGUUCUUCUUUCAGAGAGAGGAAUGCCUCGCCGUCGAGAGUUUGUUAUGCAGGUAAAAGUAGGCAAUGACAUUACUACUGGAACAGGCCCAAACAAGAAAAUAGCUAAAAGAAAUGCAGCAGAAGCAAUGUUGCUACAGCUGGGUUACAAAGCCUCUACUCCUCUUCAAGACCAGCCAGAAAAGCUUGGAGAAAACAAGAGUUGGAAUGGCCAGAAUGUUGGGUUUUCUGAACCAACGAAUAACACACCAAAGGGAAUACUCCAUCUCUCCCCUGAUGUUUAUCAAGAGAUGGAAGCAAGCCGCAACAAAUCAGCCCCUGGUACCACUGUAAGCUAUUUGUCGUCCAAAGAAAUGAGCCAGACUUCCAGCUCUUUCUUCAGCAUAUCUCCUACAACAAAUAGCACGGCUACGAUUGCCAGGGAACUUCUCAUGAAUGGAACGUCCCCAACUGCUGAAGCCAUAGGUCUAAAAGGAGUAUCUCCUGCUUCCCCCUGUUCUACAGUGCAGCCUUCAAAACAACUGGAGUAUUUGGCAAGGAUUCAAGGCUUUCAGGUAUGGGAGGGGGAAAAUGAAGCUCUUCAGCCAGAAUCGUAGCAUUGCCAUCAAGGUUUCACUCUUGCCCUCUUGAAUGUGGGCAUGCAUGUAACUUAUCUUGUAAAAUUAGAUGGUGUCCGAGGCAGUUUCUGGGUCCGGGAGAUACAACUCUGCACCAAUAUACGCAUCCCUCCUUCUGUUUUUUUGUUCCUUCCGUACAUUCAUCUUACUGCAGCCCAUCUUUCUCUUCUUUGUCUUCUCUUCAAAUAAUUACAAGCUUAAAUUAUGCCUUUUACUUGCACUUCUUUGAGAGUCUUCAUCUCUUCGAAAUAGAAGCUUUACAUACUGCUUUGGCAUUGGUUUCUUCCUUCGACUCUGAUCCAGAAGGUACCAAUGAACCACCUUACCUUUGUGUUUGUUGUCUAGGCUGGGUUAUUAAUUUCUUUGCUUACCACCCUGCACUUCUUAGUAGUAACUUGAUGUUGUGGUUUAGGAAUGGUACUUACCAGUUUAGUGCUCCCAUUGAGACUCUCCAAACCAUGAGCUGCUUACUCGCUCCCCCUCCCCUGUGAUGGACUGGAGAGGAGAAUUAGAGGCACAAAAGGUAAAGAUCACAGAUUGAGAUAUGAACAAUUUACUUGAAACAGCAAUGAGAUAAGAAAACUAACUGUAACAGCAACAGUGCUAUUGACAGAGGGUGUAAGAAAUGAAGGAUUCACACGGAAAGCCCUCGACAACAGACAAUAUCCAACCUCUCCCUCUGCCGUGCUACUGGAAGGGACCCUGUUCUCCCUGGAAGAGAAUUGCUUCUCCUCACCCCUGGCAAUAAUAUGAGGUGGUGUAGAAUAACUUCUGGGUCCUAGCCAUGCCCCCAUCUAAGUACUGCAAAAAUUAACAGUCUCCUGGCUGGAACCAGGACAUUAUUCACCCCUUAUUCUAUACCAUCUAUGACAUGCCCAAAUCCUACGCCUUCCAACUAUAUGCAUAUAGAUAGAUAGAUAGGUAGAUAGACAGAUAGAUAGAUAGAUAGAUAGAUAGACAGACACAUAUACACAAGCACAGGUAUCCUUUCCAGGGUCAAUGGCUGUCCCUCCAAGAUGUCUGUUGAGUUCAUUUAGUCCAGUUGAGUUCAUUUAGUCCAUGACUGUGGAUUCCAUCCGUCUUAGAUGUCUCCCAGGGCAGGAGGGCUGGUGUGCUCUUGGCUGAUUGCAAGCUGCAUCAGGAGCUCACAACUGGUGUAUCUAGAGCAGUCCCUCCUCAUUGUCCAUGGUAAUUAUGUCAUAUAGAGGCAGUGUCAUUCAGCAACCAGUACUACACAGAUCAACAUUACAGGCUGUUCUCACCCAGAAAUCAAAUUCCCUUGAGGUACACAUCAUGUUUCCUCAUCCUUCUGCAUUACCCACCAAGUACACCCAGAUCCUUGAGCAAAACCAACCCCAUGGAUACAUUUGCCUUUGCUUGAGACAGGACUAAUCCAAACUAUCUUCUCUAAUGCAUUCCUCAUAUGCACCAUGGAGAGUUUAUCCCCUUCCACGGUACAUGGAGGUUUUGAUUUGGCAGGGCCAGCUUGAUGGGUAGAGCCUCUAUUGUUAACUAAGCAAGUGGCCUUUGCUAAAUGUGUAUCCCAGUGUUUGAAGGUCCCACUGCCCAUUGCUUUCAAUGUGGUUUUUAACAGUCCCUUGUACCAUUCAGCUUUCCCAGAUGCUAAUGCAUAAUAGGGAAUAUGGUAUACCCACUCAGUGCCGUGCUCUCUGGCCCAGGUCUCUAUAAGGCUAAUUUUGAAAUGAGUGCCAUUGUCCAACUCAGUUCUCUCUGGGGCACCAUGUUGCUGCAGAACUUGCUUUUCAAGGCCCAAGAUGGUGUUACAGACAGUGGCAUAAGGCACAGGAUGCAUCUCCAGCGAUCCAGUGGUUGCUUCUACCAUUGUGAGCAUGUAGAGCUGUAGUCUGUAGUCUGGAUAACUUGGGUGAUGGUGUCCGUGGUUAAAUCCACCCCUGGAUUAUGAGCCCAUCUCUAUGUCGCAUCUCUUCCCUGAUGACCUGAGGUGUCAUGGGCCCACCAAGCCUGAAAUAACUCAUCCUUAUGUUGCCAGUCCACGUCUGCCUGAGACACUUUAGUCUUGGCAGCUCAAUCCACUUGUCUGUUGUUAUGAUGCUCUUCAAUAGCCUGACUCUUGGGUGCAUGUGUAUCUACAUGAUGGACUUUUACAGCCAACUUUUCUACACAGGCAGAGAUGUCUUGCCGCACUUCAGCAGCCCAGAUGGGUUUACCUCUGUGCUGCUGAUUGGUCUUUUCCAUUGGUCUAGCCACCCCCACAGAGCAUCUGCUACCAUCCACUAGUCGGUGUAGAGGUAGAGCACUGACCAUUUCUCUCGUUCCGCGAUAUCUACAGCCAACUGGACAACUGUCAGCUGUGCAACCUGACUUGAUCCACCUUGUUCCUUCAAUAGCUUCUGCAACUCGCUAUGUAGGGCUCCAUUUGGCAGCUUUCCAUUUUUGAUGUUACCCUACAAUACAACAGGAACCAUCAGUGAAGAGAGCAUAUCGCUUUUCAGUUUCUGGUAGCUGAUUAUAUGGUGAGGCCUCCUCAGCAUAUGUCACCUUCUCCUCCUCUGAUGAUCGUGAUAGUCCCAAAUUUUCACCUUCGGGACAGUUCAUGAUGACUUCCAAGAUCCAUGGGCGAUUGGGGUUUCCUAUUCGAGCUCAUGUGACCCACUUACUCCAUGUAGCAUGGGUGGCAUGAUGUGUGGAAAGGACUUUCCCUUUGAACAUCCAGCCCAGCACUGGCAGUCAGGGCACCAGGAGGGCUGUGCUUCGCUGACAAUCACUUCUGAAGCAGCUCAAACUGCUUCAUAAGCUACCAGUGUCUCUUUUUCAGUUGGGGUGUAACAGUCAGUUCCAGGUGUACUGGACACGCCUCCAGGUGAAAGCAAAUUGUGGCCUGCAGUCUGCUGCUAAGGGAAUGGAGAAAACCACAUUAGCAAUAUUGAUGGUGGCACCACUUUACUCCAGUUUGUACUGAAGUUCCAGCAUGCCUGGUACAGCAGCACUCAAUGGUGAUGUGACUUUGUUCAGGCCACAAUAGACUGAGAGACUCUCAGUCUCCACUCUCCAGUGGACUUACUCACAGGCCAUAUAGGACUACUAAAGGGUGAGCAAGUCUUGCUGACCACUCCCGGGCUCUCCAGUUCAUGAAUCAUCUCACCAGUGGGGGUCACAGAGUCUCGGUUGGUGCGGUAUUGCUGACAGUGCACCAUUCUGGUGGCCAUCAGUAACUAUUCUUCAACCCUCAGCAGUCCCAUAGCAGAAGGGUUCUUUGAGAGACCAGGCAAGGUAUUCAGCUGAUUUCCUCUGUCUCCACAGUAGCUAUCCCAAGAGCCCAACAAAGCCUUUUUGGGUCCUUGAAAUGGACCCUCUCCUGAUGUAAUCUGUGCCAAGGAUGCACAGGGCCCCUAGGCCAGUGUUAUGAUCCAGUUAUUAAAAUUACUAGAAAUGCCUUUGCCCAAAUUAAGGUGCAGAUGAGACUGUAUGCCAGAGUCAAUAGUAUGGAUUUUAUUUAACAGUAGAUGUGAGGCAGAGAAAGAGAGAGAGACAGAAAUAGAAAAAGGAUGGGGGGGACAAGAAAGAGCGUGACAGAGAAAGAUUAAAAUAGAAAAUUUAUCACCACUCCGUGGACCCAGUGGUGUUCCAUUCUUCUGGUCUUCUUGGUGGUGAGGGUCCCACACAACAUAGAGUCCAAUGGAUUAAUAUACCUUCGGAUGUCCAGGCACCACCCCUGGCAGGGAAAAGCUCUGCAGUCUCUUGCGACAGGCUCUGGAUUUUUUGCAUCACUUGGAUCACAUGCAGUCCUCUUGUGGUGGAAGAUGUCAGGAAUGAGUCUGGGGUCUUUAAUGGUUUAUGAACCCUUCUCAGGUGCCUCUCAUGUGAAUGUCCUGUGUGUACAUGGUCUUCCUGGGAGUGGUUGGGGAUUACUCCUUUGGUUUGGUGUGGAGAGAUUUUGCAAUCACACCCCCAAAACUCUUCUCCUCCACCACCUGAUGAGCCUUGUUUACUUCUCCUCUGACUUGAGAAAAUUAGGCAAUAGUCUUAUCUGAAGACUAUUCCAUCACAGUCCAGAUUCCGAUCAGGAAGCAUGUUUGGGAGGGGGGUACUUCGAUGGUUGCAGACAGGCAGUUGCUUCCUCACAGUUUGACAAAAAGUCUUUCUAUGAUUUUGGCAGUGUUUAAGACAUUAACAACAAUUGAGUCCCUCACAGCCAGUCACAAUGGAGUGUUUUUGCCAUUCAUUCUCAGUCAGGCUCACUUUAGCUUCCAGUACAGUCAGUUGUUGUGUUCCCCUUGUCACCCCAGCAAUAGAGAUGGAUUCUGCCCCUACAUAUCUUGACGGCAUCAGGAUACGUUGUGCACCAAUGUCAACUAAAGUCUUACACUCUUCUGGUUCUGAUGUGCCAGGCCAUUGGAUCCACACAGUCCAAUAGAUCUGAUUGUCCCUUUCCUCCACCUGGCUGGAGGCAGGGCCCCUCAAGUUCUGGUAAUAGUACUCAUUGCUCAUUGUUAAUAUGAACUGGAGGUCUGUUCAAGAGGAUUGGAGGUAACAUCAGGUCUCCUAUUCUGAGGACUUGCCCUCUGGAAACUGGAGUGGCAUCUAUCCUUGAAGAAUUUCUUGGAGUGGUUGUUCUUCCUCUCAAUUCAUGUAUCCAUGCUGCUACGGUAGAGGUGGGUUUUCCAUCCCACUUCCUCAUGUCCUCUCCAUGGUCAUGCAAGUAGAACCAUUGGUUACCUGGUGGUGUGUACCCUCUUUCUCCCAAGCUUUCUAUUGGAGCGCUUGCUCCCAAUAGAAGAGAGUCUGGUCCACACUGGCGGGACAUGGGACAUUUCUUCUCUAAUUUCCUUGAGUCUUUCGAAUCUGUCUGCAGUCUUGGACAGUCUUUCUGCAGCUGAGACUCAGGUUAGUAGGGAGGAAAAAGACAAUCUUCAUGUUGCCAGAGUCAGGUAGUCACCUGAAACACUGUUUGUUCUCCUUCUUUCAUUGACAUCAAUGCCCGUCAGUUGGUGUACGAUGAUGGCAUGCUCUGUACAAACAGGUUUUGUACACUGGACCUCAUCUGGAUCUACAGGGGACUGCUUGUUAUUUGUAUUCUUAUAGAUUAUCUACAGCACAGCUAAUUCUCUCAGGUACUGGAUACCUUUCUCUAUGGUGUUCCACCUGCUUGGGUGCACUACUAGAUCAUCCUUGAGAGAAUAAUUUUCCCUAAUUGUGAAGUAAGAUAACACACAAGUACCCCUGAAAUACCAAGCAGUGGAAGGAGUUCAGGAAAAUUUUUUCCAAAGUCGAGAACACUAGACUUACAAGGGAAAAACUUCUAGCAGUGCUGCAAAAAGCACUGCCUCAGAAAGACACUCCUCCUGUUCUCUUCAAGGCUUUUUAUCUUCACUGGCCUCCCUCCCCAGGUCCUCUCCAAUGCACAGGCCUGUAGCAUCUGUUUAUCUCUCCUCAUAACAGAGAAAGAGCCUGCAAGCUUUCUGUGGUUCUGCUGCAGUUUGGGUGGCCACAGUGCCUGUUGGUCUGCUUUCCUUCUCCUCCCCAUGAGGGUGCUGUCUAGUAUUGAACUGUGCCCAGUGAAGAGUAGCCAGGGCUCAAUACAUUUCAAUAAGUUGCUCCUCUCUGGAGUUACCACAGCAUUCUCCUUCCAAGUAUUCUGUCACUUUAUCAGGGUCUUGUAGUUGUUCAGGAGUGAACUUCCAUGCCAUUGGAGCAGAUAAUUUCCCCCAAAACUGGCCCAUUUUCUCCCAUAUUCCAUGCCACUCAUGACUGUCCACCCUCAGGGAGGAUCUCUGAAUGACCUUCCUAGAAAUCUUAACUAAACAUGGUGUGGACCACACUGAGGAGACCUGGCAGACAUAGCAACAAGAACAUGCUUUCCUUAACAUCCAAAGGGAAUUGAAAAUUCUCGGAAGCUGUUGUAACAGGCCUGAAAAAAGAAAAAGGGGUGAAAAGCUGGAGAAAAUCAUCCUCCCCGUUCCCCCCUCAAACUGGGUACGAUUAUUAACGAACUCCCAGAGAUAGCACCUGAGAUAAGGGCAAAAGAGCAACAUUGAAUACACAUCCCAAAUGACCCUUAUUGCCUUUGAUGUUAUCAUAUCAUAAGCUGAUAUCACACAGUACAGCAACAAAGCAAUCCUGAUCCCCCUUCCUGCUCAGAAAAAAAACAUCAUGAGCAGCACAUAUGGGAAUAUAUACUGGGUUAGGUACCACAAGCACAUAAACUGACCAAGCAACAUUGUAAUCAGUGGCUCUAUGCCUAAUACAACAAGUGCUUAGAUCAAGUUUGUUUCCAACUCACUCUGGGCAAAUCAGUUGUUAUCGCAACCCUUCGUGCCCAACACUGGAUGCCAAAAAAGUCUGUCAUGGUUUAGGAAUGGUAAUCCCCAAUUUAGUGCUCCCACAGCGACUCUCUAAGCCAUGUGCUACUCACUCCCUCCCUUCCCCUCCCUUCCAGCCCUCGCUCUGUGGUGGGAUGGAGAGGAGAAUUGGAGGCCCAAAAGGUAAAGAUCAAGGCUGAGAUAAGAACAAUUUACUGGAAACAGCAAUGAGAUAAGAAAACGAACAGUAAAAGCAACAAUACUAAUGACAGAGGGUGCAAGAAAUGAAGGAUUCACUCGGAAACCCCUGGACAAUAGACAACAUCCAACCACUUCCUCCACCAUGCUGCUCGACCGAAAGGGACUCUGUUUUCCCUGGAAGAGAAUCCCUUCUCCCCACCCCCAGCAAUGAUGUGAGGUGGUGUAGAAUAACUUCUGGAUCCUUCUAAGUACUUCAUGCCCCCUUCUAAGUACUACAAAAAUUAACCCUAUUCUGGCUGGGAUCAGGACAUUUGAAAACCAUGUUUUGCUCAGUAGUGAAAGUAGACCUAGUGUCAGAGCAAUGCAGAAUGUUUUUGCCAUCACAGUCAAUAUUAUAGAAUGUAAGAUGAACCAUAGUGGGUCAGUGCAUGAGUCCUUCAUCACUGAUAACCUGCACCCAGCAAUUUCUACAUUUCAUAGGACAGUGGCAGCCUCUGUAGUACAUCCAGUCAUUUCUGCAGUGUGGAAGAUGGGAAAAGGAAGCCUCUUCCCUAUCACAUUACGUGCAAAUUUAUAUGUGUAUAUGGGUAAUGGCUCAUUUCACUGUGUUGCGCCAUCAGGGGAUAGGACCAGAUAUGUAGAAAUAUAUUUUUCCUGUCAUAGGUUUUUGGUUUGAGUUUUUGUUUUGUUUGGGGUUUUUUCCCUUUUCAGAAUUGUGAAUUUGUUUCAUUUGAAAUGUUGGUUUCAUAUGCUCUAGCAUAUGUAAUUUGAUCAUAUAACCAAAUUCUGGAAAUGGGAGGUUUCUGUUGGAAUUUUUGCAUGCCUGAUAAUGGAUUUUUUUUGUAAUUUACAAAUGGGAAGUGACUUAAAAGAGGCUGCUAGGAUUCAAGGAAUAGUGUCAGAUGUUCUGCUGGUAUAAGCAGCAUAGUUAAAUUACUUUUGCUUACAUCAGAUAUCCAGCGUGCUUGCAACAAACAUGGGUAGAGCCCUCCCCAAAUCUUCGUUUGCGAAGCCUAGCCAUGAUGAUAACAUCAGAUACUGUCAGUUGUGGAUUUAACUUAAGACUGUUUCUGUCUAAAAUAUACAUUCAGCUAUUUUUUGGUCUUCAUUUUUGAAAUGUCAUUUUUGCUUCAUUAGUUUGAAUGUCUCUUAAUGAAACAAAUGGUAAAAGCCUCAGCCUCACUGUAGUAGAGUUAAGCUGCUAAUAGGAAUUCAGUCUUCCUGAGUUCGAUUUGUUACCUGCCUGCAGUAGAAACAGAUGAAUUCUGAUGAAAAGAAAUUCAAUCCGUGGAGUUCUCACUGCUCACUUUCACAUCUUGUCAGAUUGCUUGUGUCUACUAGUAAUGCUUUAUUUUCAUAGAACAGAUGCACAAUUUAUGUUACUGUUUUGGUUCCUACUUGCCUACAGUAUGUGGUUAUUGUAAAAUGAUUAGUUGUGUUUGUCCUGGUUUUUUUCAUGCUUUGAUUCUAGAUGCUUAUGUAGAAAUUGUUUUUAAAGGAUCUUACCUUGAGCGAAAAAGUAUAAUGUUUCAUCCAUGAACUAGACUACUACUUUUUACUUGGCCCUAAUACAAACCAAGGAAUUUGAUAAAGAAUCUCAAUUAUUAACAUCUAUCCACUGUGUAUGUAACUGAUGGUUUUACAUCAUCUUAGCAUGCUUUUUAACACCUUGCUUGAAUAAGCCUGGUUAUUGAUGUGAAACUGCUGCUGAUGGGUGGCUGAGUCGAGGUGGAGCAGUGAAUAGAAUCUCUGUGGGAAGUGGCUCAGUGGCCUGUCAGCUGCACAACACAGGUCUCUUCACCAUUUCAACCUCGAAAACUCUUUGUCUUUAAGAGUUUAAAAGCCAAUUUCUUUGCAAGCUAAAUUUCUCAGGCUUAUUUACUAAGUAGAUAACUACUGCAUUUGCAAACAGCUAGCUUGUUUCAUGUUUCCUGAAUGACCCAAAAUGAUUUUUAAAUUGUUAGCAUGUAUUUGUAUUCUGGUCCAGAUGAUAACCGUAGUUUUGUCUUUCAUUGAAGAACGUAUACAUUCUGUUCUGUUACAAUGUAUUUUUUGAAUUUUUUAAAAAAAUCAAUAAAUACUCAUAUGAUGUUUCAUUUGUAAAUGUAAA